rnacentral:misc_RNA from 1 species
GAUGAAGAACGUAGCAAAAUGCGAUACUUGGUGUGAAUUGCAGAAUCCCGUGAACCAUCGAGUUUUUGAACGCAAGUUGCGCCCGAAGCCUUUUGGCCGAGGGCACGUCUGCCUGGGCGUCACGCAUCGCGUCGCCCCCCACAACUCUCCGUAAAGGGAACUUGUGUUUUGGGGGCGGAUAUUGGUCUCCCGUGCUCAUGGCGUGGUUGGCCGAAAUAGGAGUCCCUCCGGUGGACGCACGAACUAGUGGUAGUCGUAAAAACCCUCGUCUUUUGUUUCGUGCCGUUAGUCGCGAGGGAAACUCUUUAAAAACCCAAAUGUGUCGUCUCUUGACGGCGCUUCGACCGCGACCCCAGGUCAGGCGGGACUACCCGCUGAGUUUAAGCAUAUCAAUAAGCGGAGGA